rnacentral:rRNA from 1 species
CAGUAGCCGCGGUAAUACGGAGGGGGCUAGCGUUGUUCGGAAUUACUGGGCGUAAAGCGCACGUAGGCGGCUUGGUAAGUUAGAGGUGAAAGCCUGGAGCUCAACUCCAGAAUUGCCUUUAAGACUGCCGAGCUAGUAGGUGAGAGAGGUAAGUGGAAUUCCGAGUGUAGAGGUGAAAUUCGUAGAUAUUCGGAAGAACACCAGUGGCGAAGGCGGCUUACUGGCUCAUUCUAGACGCUGAGGUGCGAAAGCGUGGGGAGCAAACAGGAUUAGAUACCCCAGUAGUCCCUGUCUCUUAUAU